rnacentral:lncRNA from 1 species
AAUCCGUGGGAGGGGUGAACGGCCGGUUCCAGCGCGAAUCCUUCGGCAUAGAGUUCGGGCACAGCUGCCGCAUCUGUGACCGGCUCUGGUUCGACGUGA